UUCACCCCCGGAGCCCGACCCAUGCACUAACGCUAACAGCAGUAGAGCGUAGAUCACUACGGUUUCGGCCUCUGUCUGACAAUAUCCUAUGUCAAACUGUUACUGCAUAGUAAAUGGUGAACGAUGAAUGCUAAAAUCGUCAUCUACUGAAAUGGAUCUGUAUGAAAAUAUUUGACACGUAAUAUCUCUUUCCCAGAAACCGUUCCCACCAAAAGACUGAGCUAUUUACACUCGGUUCUAUUUACGGUUCAUAUUGUGGUGAUUUCGGUUCUGUCUGUAAACAGCAUGAUAUUUAGCUAGUGUAGUUGACAGAAAAUGGAUACAUAUAUAUGUGUGAGUAUAUUGUUUCGCUAAAAGUCAUAUUUCUUGUAGUUUGGCGAUCACAUGUCAACAAAUUGUUUUCGCGGUAGAAAUAGCGAGAUCGCGCAACAUCUCAUCGGUGACAGGUCAAAUUGUUCCAUGCACAAAAACUAUCCGGCAUGACAUCAAAAGUGCUCCCGCAUAACCUUAGUUAUGGUUACAAGUAUUUAACAUUUAUAGAGCAAAACCAGUAAUUACAAAGACACAAUUCUAGAAUUUAUCGAUCUUGGUUAAAUAGUAGUUUAGAUAGCAUAUUUUACCGAUCACUGCUCCAGAUUUCAUCUCGUUAUAUUACUGGGUAUGUUUUAAAUAAAUCACCGGUAGAUCGCCUAGGAACGUGUGCACAGCUGAUUGCUAUUUCCGGUUCUGUAUACGACAAAUAUGCACACGUAAUCUUUAUCCCUGCAUAUAAUAAAAUGCCCAGCGUGAACAAAUUACAACUGAAAAGGUCAGAUCAUCUGCGUCUCCUCGGCAUCUCAUCCCUUCAGCUAUGAAGUGAAGUUCCUUCACCCAACCAGUAUUCCUGGGCAGUUUAAGUAUCCAUCCAGGGAUGACCAGUCCAUCAUCAGAUGUCAGUUUAUUUUUUUAAGUAGCCUCAGCCAUCCUGAGCCGAAAUCUGGUGGGAGAAUGUUUUUCCUCCCACAAUAUCUACAACUUCAAUCAGCAUAUGAAGACUACAAACAGAGGUAUUGGGCAGCAUAGACAUGUGGGAAGGUGUCCAGUGAAGAAGCUUUAUGUCUGUUACUCAUGCUGAGAUAGACAAUUUUGUGUGAUUUUUGUUUAAACAAUGACACUUCUAGUGAUACCAAUUAGGUUAUG